rnacentral:rRNA from 1 species
GGGAGGCAGCAGUGGGGAAUCUGCGCAAUGCGCGAAAGCGUGACGCAGCACGCGCGUGGGGAGAGCUCGGGUGUAACCUCUUUCCAGGUUGGACGAAGCCUCGGGCGUGAACAGCCGCUCGAAGUGACGGUACCUUCAGAAAAAAGCCCCGGCUAACUACGUGCCAGCAGCCGCGGUAAUACGUAGGGGGCAAGCGUUGUCCCGGAAUCAUUGGGCGUAAAGAGCGCGUAGGCGGUCCGGUAAGUCUGCCGUGAAAGCCAAGGGCUCAACCCUUUGGAUGCCGGUGGAUACUGUCGGGCUAGAGUCCGGAAGAGGCGAGUGGAAUUCCUGGUGUAGCGGUGAAAUGCGCAGAUAUCAGGAAGAACACCUAUGGCGAAGGCAGCUCGCUGGGACGGAACUGACGCUGAGGCGCGAAAGCGUGGGGAGCAAACAGGAUUAGAUACCCUGGUAGUCCACGCCGCAAACGAUGGGCACUAGGUGUGGGAGGUGUCGACUCCUCCCGUGCCGCAGCUAACGCAUUAAGUGCCCCGCCUGGGGAGUACGGCCGCAAGGCUAAAACUCAAAGAAAUUGACGGGGGCCCGCACAAGCAGCGGAGCAUGUGGUUUAAUUCGACGCAACGCGAAGAACCUUACCUGGGCUUGACAUGUCCGCGACCGGCGUGGAAACACGCCCUCCCUUCGGGGCGCGGUCACAGGUGGUGCAUGGCUGUCGUCAGCUCGUGUCGUGAGAUGUUGGGUUAAGUCCCGCAACGAGCGCAACCCUCGUCGCAUGUUGCCAGCGGUUCGGCCGGGGACUCAUGCGAGACUGCCGGUGACAAACCGGAGGAAGGUGAGGAUGACGUCAAGUCAUCAUGCCCCUUAUGUCCAGGGCUACACACGUGCUACAUUGGCCGGUACAAAGGGCUGCAAGACCGCGAGGUGGAGCGAAUCCCAUAAAGCCGGUCUCGGUUCGGAUUGGAGGCUGAAACUCGCCUCCAUGAAGGCGGAGUUGCUAGUAAUCGCGGAUCAGCAAUGCCGCGGUGAAUACGUUCCCGGG